rnacentral:rRNA from 1 species
UCGAGAAUCAUUCGCAAUGGGCGAAAGCCUGACGAUGCGACGCCGCGUGUAUGAAGAAGGCCUUCGGGUUGUAAAGUACUUUCGCCAAGGAACAAGAGAAACCGGCUAAUAUCCGGUGGAUUUGAGAGUAUUUGGUAAAGAAGCACCGGCUAACUCCGUGCCAGCAGCUGCGGUAAUACGGAGGGUGCAAGCGUUAAUCGGAAUUAUUGGGCGUAAAGGGCGCGUAGACGGGAAUGCAAGUCAGAUGUUAAAGACCGAAGCUCAACUUCGGAAAAGCAUUUGAAACUGCAUUUCUUGAGGAUAGACGGAGAAAACGGAAUUCCACAAGUAGCGGUGAAAUGCGUAGAUAUGUGGAAGAACACCGGUGGCGAAGGCGGUUUUCUAGUUUAUACCUGACGUU